AAGCCAGUACAUUACAUCUGAUUUACCUGAAUGUGUUUUUCAGAAGUAAAAUAUUGGCAAUAGUACAGCCAUGGUACGAGCCUUAAAAACUGUGAGGUCUUUAAGGUCCCUGAGAAUGGCUACAGUA
rnacentral:snoRNA from 15 species